UACGGAGGGUGCGAGCGUUGUCCGGAUUUAUUGGGUUUAAAGGGUGCGUAGGUGGGUAUACAAGUCUGGUUUGAAAGUUGGUUGCUUAACGAUCAAAAGUGGCUGGAAACUGUAUAUCUUGAAUGGGGUAGCGGUAGCUGGAAUGGGUCAUGUAGCGGUGAAAUGCAUAGAUAUGACCCGGAACACCAAUUGCGAAGGCAGGCUACUGGGCCUUGAUUGACACUGAGGCACGAGAGCAUGGGGAGCCAAC
rnacentral:rRNA from 1 species